rnacentral:lncRNA from 1 species
CUCCAUCCUGGUUGACACCACGAAGUAGUGCUCCUCCAACUUCCCUGAUGACCUGAAUGCAGCAGGAGGGAUGAAAGGAAUGACCUAGGGCAGCAUUCUCUGACGUGGUCCCCGUGCCCUGGUGCUCUUGCGAUGCUAAGAGACCCACAGAGGCUGUGCCAUGAAACCAGAGGAAAUGUGCUUAUGCCAGAACAAGAACUUGUUCUUCUCCUUCAUCUCGAACCUUCCCGGUUGAUCGUGACCUCAAAUCCAUUCUUUUCCCUCCAUCUGUGGCACUGCCAUUUGGCCGAGUCAGUACACAGAUGCCCCUCAGCUUACGAUGGGGUUACAUCCUCACAAGCCUAUAAUAAAUUGAAACUAUCAUGAGUUGAAAAUGCACUGAAUCCACCAGACCUACUGACUGCCCUAGCUUAGUGACACAGUCCACUAUAGUGGUGGUUGUUUCCCCUCAUGAUUGCAGGUUGGAUGGGAGCUGUGGCUUUGGUGCCCAGCAUUCAGAGAGGAUUGGAUCCCACACCAGGAGCCCAGGGCAGGUCCAAGGUCAAAAUUCAAGCUAUGAUUUCUACUACAUGUGAGUCAUUUUCACCCACUAUAACAAUAGAAGGGGAAAAAGCAAGUUGAACCAUCUUAAGUUGGAGGUCUACUGUAUAAGCUUUUGACUUUGUGUCUUUC